UCGCAUCUUACGACGGCAGUCUCCACAGAGUCCCCAGCAUAACCUGAUGGCAACUGUGGAUAAGGGUUGCGCUCGUUAUGGCACUUAAGCCGACACCUCACGGCACGAGCUGACGACAACCAUGCAGCACCUUCACAACCGCCUUGCGGCUUACCCGUUUCCGGAUAAUUCGGUUGCAAUUCAAGCCCGGGUAAGGUUCCUCGCGUAUCAUCGAAUUAAACCACAUGUUCCUCCGCUUGUGCGGGCCCCCGUCAAUUCCUUUGAGUUUCACCGUUGCCGGCGUACUCCCCAGGUGGAAUACUUAACGCUUUCGCUUGGCCGCUUACAAUAUAUCGCAAACAGCGAGUAUUCAUCGUUUACUGUGUGGACUAC
rnacentral:misc_RNA from 1 species